rnacentral:sRNA from 2 species
GUAGAUGCUCAUUCCAUCUCUUAUGUUCGCCUCAGGGCCUCAUAAACUCAGGAAUGACGCAGAGCCGUUUACGGUGCUUAUCGUCCACAGACAGAUGUCGCUUCGGCCUCAUCAGACACCAUGGACAUAACGUUGAGUGAAGCACCUUAUGUUGUCGAAUAGACCUGUUUUAACGCCUGCCUUUAUGGCAGGCGUUUUUUU